rnacentral:rRNA from 1 species
UUAAUGUAAAAAAAGGAAUAGGUAUAAAAAGGAACAUUGUUUACUCGCUGAAACUUAAGCAUAUCAAUAAGUAGCGGGUACCCCGCUGAAACUAAGCAUAUCAAUAAGCGGAGGAAAAGAAACCAACAGCGAUUGCCUUAGUAACUGCGAGUGAAGCGGCAAAAGCUCAAAUUUGAAAUCUGUGCCCUCAAGGGCACCGAGUUGUAACCUUGAGAUACGUUUUCGACCGACAGGCCUGCCUUAAGUUCCUUGGAACAGGACGUCACAGAGGGUGAGAAUCCCGUGAACGGUAGGCCUCGAGGCGCAUGAUACGUAUUCGACGAGUCGAGUUGUUUGGGAAUGCAGCUCAAAGUGGGUGGUAAAUUUCAUCUAAAGCUAAAUAUUGGGGAGAGACCGAUAGCGCACAAGUAGAGUGAUCGAAAGAUGAAAAGCACUUUGAAAAGAGAGUUAAAAAGUACGUGAAAUUGUUGAAAGGGAAGCGCUUGAGACCAGACUCAAUCUCCGUUGAUCAACUUCAGUUCUCUGUUGUGCACUCGGCGGCUUUUGGGACAGCAUCGGUUCCCGCGGAGGGACAAAGCCUCAGGAAAUGUGGCACCCUUCGGGGUGUGUUAUAGUCCUCUGGGCAAUGCCUCCAGCGGGGACCGAGGACCGCGCUCCGGCUAGGAUGCUGUCAUAAUGGUCUCCAGCGACCCGUCUUGAAACACGGACCAAGGAGUCUAACAUCUAUGCGAGUGUUCGGGUGGAAAACCCUUGCGCGUAAUGAAAGUGAACGGAGGUGGGAAUCGCAAGACGCACCAUCGACCGAUCCUGAAGUCUUCCGAAGGAUUUGAGUAUGAGCAUAGCUGUUGGGACCCGAAAGAUGGUGAACUAUGCCUGAAUAGGGUGAAGCCAGGGGAAACUCUGGUGGAGGCUCGCAGCGGUUCUGACGUGCAAAUCGAUCGUCAAAUUUGGGUAUAGGGGCGAAAGACUAAUCGAACCUUUGG